rnacentral:rRNA from 1 species
CGUGCUUGCACGGUCUGAUUAGUGGCGAACGGGUGAGUAACACGUGAGUAACCUGCCCCCCACUCUGGGAUAACCUCGGGAAAUCGGGGCUAAUACCGGAUAUGAGCCCCUACCGCAUGGUGGGUGCUGGAAAGUUUUUCGGUGGGGGAUGGACUCGCGGCCUAUCAGUUUGUUGGUGAGGUAAUGGCUCACCAAGGCGAUGACGGGUAGCCGGCCUGAGAGGGCGACCGGCCACACUGGGACUGAGACACGGCCCAGACUCCUACGGGAGGCAGCAGUGGGGAAUAUUGCACAAUGGGCGAAAGCCUGAUGCAGCGACGCCGCGUGGGGGAUGACGGCCUUCGGGUUGUAAACCUCUUUCAGUAGGGAAGAAGCGAAAGUGACGGUACCUGCAGAAGAAGCGCCGGCUAACUACGUGCCAGCAGCCGCGGUAAUACGUAGGGCGCAAGCGUUGUCCGGAAUUAUUGGGCGUAAAGAGCUUGUAGGUGGCUUGUCGCGUCUGCCGUGAAAACCCGAGGCUCAACCUCGGGCGUGCGGUGGGUACGGGCAGGCUAGAGUGUGGUAGGGGAGACUGGAACUCCUGGUGUAGCGGUGAAAUGCGCAGAUAUCAGGAAGAACACCGAUGGCGAAGGCAGGUCUCUGGGCCAUUACUGACACUGAGAAGCGAAAGCAUGGGGAGCGAACAGGAUUAGAUACCCUGGUAGUCCAUGCCGUAAACGUUGGGCACUAG